AUUCCAGCUCCAAUAGCGUAUAUUAAAGUUGUUGCAGUUAAAAAGCUCGUAGUUGGAUUUCUGGCCGAGUGUCCCCAGGCCAGCAUGACGUUUGGUCCUGGGCGCUCUGCCAUCCUUCUGUCAACCUUCGCCUCGUUCAUUCGUGGCGCUGGGGCUCAGAUAUUUUACCUUGAGAAAAUUAGAGUGUUUCAGGCAGGCUUUCGCCGGAAUACAUUAGCAUGGAAUAAUGGAAAAGGACUUCAACCUCUUCUGUUGGUCUGAGAGGCUGUAGUAACGAUUAAUAGGGAUAGUUGGGGGCAUUCAUAUUUCAUAGUCAGAGGUGAAAUUCUUGGAUUUAUGAAAGAUGAACUUCUGCGAAAGCAUUUGCCAAGGAUGUUUUCAUUG
rnacentral:rRNA from 1 species